AUCAACGCUGGCGGCGUGCCUAACACAAUGCAAGUCGAACGAGAAAGUGGAGCAAUCCAUGAGUAAAGUGGCGACCGGGUGAGUAACACGUGACUAACCUACCUUUGAGUGGGGAAUAACCUCGGGAAACCGGGGCUAAUACCGCAUAAUACCGAGAGGUCAAAGGAGCAAUCCGCUUGAAGAGGGGGUCGCGGCUGAUUAGCUAGUUGGUAGGGUAAGGCCUACCAAGGCAGUGAUCAGUAUCCCGGCCUGAGAGGGCGCACGGACACACUGGAACUGAAACACGGUCCAGACUCCUACGGGAGGCAGCAGUGGGGGAAUUUUGCACAAUGGGGGAAACCCUGAUGCAGCAACGCCGCGUGUAGGAUGAAGCCCCUUGGGGCGUAAACUCCUUUCGAUCGGGACGAUUAUGACGGUACCGGAAGAAGAAGCACCGGCUAACUCUGUGCCAGCAGCCGCGGUAAUACAGAGGGUGCAAGCGUUGUUCGGAAUUAUUGGGCGUAAAGGGCGCGUAGGCGGUGCGGUAAGUCUUUUGUGAAAUCUCCGGGCUCAACUCGGAGCCUGCAAGGGAAAACUGCCGUGCUUGAGUAUGGGAGAGGUGAGUGGAAUUCCCGGUGUAGCGGUGAAUAUGCGUAGAUAUCGGGAGGAACACCUGUGGCGAAAGCGGUUCACUGGACCAUAACCUGACGCUGAUGCGCGAAAGCUAGGGGAGCAACAGGAUUAGAUACCCUGGUAGUCCUAGCCCUAAACGAUGAUUGCUUGGUGUAGGGGGUACCCAAUCCCGACUGUGCCGGAGCUAACGCGUAAGCAAUUCCGCCUGGGGAGUACGGUCGCAAGGCUGAAACUCAAAGGAAUUGACGGGGGCCCGCACAAGCGGUGGAGCAUGUGGUUCAAUUCGACGCAACGCGAAGAACCGUCUAGCCUGGGCUCGAAGCGCAGUUGGAAUCCGGUGGAACAUCGGCGCUCCGCAAUAGGGUCGCUGCGUAGGUGCUGCAUGGCUGGUCGUCAGCUCGUGUCGUGAGAUGUUGUUGGGUUAAGUCCCGCAACGAGCGCAACCCUGGUAUCGGUAGUUGCCAAUCAGGUCAAGCUGGGAGCACUCUAGCGAACCGCCUCGGAUAACGGGGAGGAAGGUGGGGUAUGACGUCAAGUCCCUCAUGGCCUUUAUGUCCAGGGCUACACAACGUGCUACAAUGGUCGGUACAACGACCGUCGCAAACCCGCGAGGGGGAGCUAAUCGGAAAAAAGCCCGCCUCAGUUCGGAUUGGAGUCUGCAACCCGACUCCAUGAAGCUGGAAUCGCUAGUAUCGCAGAUCAGAACGCUGCGGUGAAUACGUUCCCGGGCCUUGUACACACCGCCCGUCACAUCACGAAAGUGGGUGAUACUAGAAGUCGGUUCGGGCAACCCGCAGGAGGACUGAGCCGUCCAAGGUAUGACUCAUGAUUGGGGUG
rnacentral:rRNA from 1 species